AUAGGGGAGCCGGAGGGAAACCGAGUCUUAACCGGGCGUUAAGUUGCAGGGUAUAGACCCGAAACCCGGUGAUCUAGCCAUGGGCAGGUUGAAGGUUGGGUAACACUAACUGGAGGACCGAACCGACUAAUGUUGAAAAAUUAGCGGAUGACCUGUGGCUGGGGGUGAAAGGCCAAUCAAACCGGGAGAUAGCUGGUUCUCCCCGAAAGCUAUUUAGGUAGCGCCUCGUGAACUCAUCUCCGGGGGUAGAGCACUGUUUCGGCUAGGGGGCCAUCCCGGCUUACCAACCCGAUGCAAACUGCGAAUACCGGAGAAUGUUAUCACGGGAGACACACGGCGGGUGCUAACGUCCGUCGUGAAGAGGGAAACAACCCAGACCGCCAGCUAAGGUCCCAAAGUCAUGGUUAAGUGGGAAACGAUGUGGGAAGGCCCAGACAGCCAGGAUGUUGGCUUAGAAGCAGCCAUCAUUUAAAGAAAGCGUAAUAGCUCACUGGUCGAGUCGGCCUGCGCGGAAGAUGUAACGGGGCUAAACCAUGCACCGAAGCUGCGGCAGCGACACUGUGUGUUGUUGGGUAGGGGAGCGUUCUGUAAGCCUGUGAAGGUGGCCUGUGAGGGUUGCUGGAGGUAUCAGAAGUGCGAAUGCUGACAUAAGUAACGAUAAAGCGGGUGAAAAGCCCGCUCGCCGGAAGACCAAGGGUUCCUGUCCAACGUUAAUCGGGGCAGGGUGAGUCGACCCCUAAGGCGAGGCCGAAAGGCGUAGUCGAUGGGAAACGGGUUAAUAUUCCCGUACUUGGUGUUACUGCGAAGGGGGGACGGAGAAGGCUAUGUUGGCCGGGCGACGGUUGUCCCGGUUUAAGCGUGUAGGUGUGUGUUCCAGGUAAAUCCGGUUCACUUUAACACUGAGGCGUGAUGACGAGGCACUACGGUGCUGAAGCAACAAAUGCCCUGCUUCCAGGAAAAGCCUCUAAGCAUCAGGUAACACGAAAUCGUACCCCAAACCGACACAGGUGGUCAGGUAGAGAAUACCAAGGCGCUUGAGAGAACUCGGGUGAAGGAACUAGGCAAAAUGGUGCCGUAACUUCGGGAGAAGGCACGCUGACACGUAGGUGAAGUGAUUUACUCAUGGAGCUGAAGUCAGUCGAAGAUACCAGCUGGCUGCAACUGUUUAUUAAAAACACAGCACUGUGCAAACACGAAAGUGGACGUAUACGGUGUGACGCCUGCCCGGUGCCGGAAGGUUAAUUGAUGGGGUCAGCGCAAGCGAAGCUCCUGAUCGAAGCCCCGGUAAACGGCGGCCGUAACUAUAACGGUCCUAAGGUAGCGAAAUUCCUUGUCGGGUAAGUUCCGACCUGCACGAAUGGCGUAAUGAUGGCCAGGCUGUCUCCACCCGAGACUCAGUGAAAUUGAACUCGCUGUGAAGAUGCAGUGUACCCGCGGCAAGACGGAAAGACCCCGUGAACCUUUACUAUAGCUUGACACUGAACAUUGAGCCUUGAUGUGUAGGAUAGGUGGGAGGCUUUGAAGUGUGGACGCCAGUCUGCAUGGAGCCGACCUUGAAAUACCACCCUUUAAUGUUUGAUGUUCUAACGU
rnacentral:rRNA from 1 species